AUGAAAACCGCGCACUGCAGGGGGAAAAAACAAAAACAAAAAACCGUCUCAUGUAUCAUGUUGAAAUAUUGUUUGUGUGAAAUGGAGCACCGUCACUGAGCUGAGAUAGAGCGUGAUUCAGUUUCAGGCUUUCCACCUGAUGCUGGACCUGGCUGCAGGGAUUUGCUCCCAUUCUGCCACGAGAGCAUUGGUGAGGUCCACCUCUGAGGGCUGGUGAUCGGGUCUGGCUCGCAGUCGGCAUUCCACUUCAGCCCAAAGGUGUUCUGUAGUCUCUAGCUCCGGUCUACUUCUUCCACACCGACCUGGGAAAACCACUUCUGUAUGGCGCUGGCUUUGUGCACUAGUGAUGACGUACAGUACAUGUUGGCACAACACAGUUGUAGUUAGGGAUACUGUAGUCAACUGUAAAGCCAUUCUGCAGCAUACUGUAUACCACAUAACUAGAUCAGAUAAGUGUGAAGUCUUUAUCGAGUAGCACAGAUGCAAGAUACGAGUUCGACAGGAGACUUAUAGGCUAAAGUGUAUCAUUUAAACAUGUAGUAAUCCGAAAUAAUCUGUAUUUUCUGUCUAAAAACUACUAAUCUAUUAAAGGUUAUGGCUGGUGA